UUCAUAGUGAAGGGAACUGUUUUGAGC
rnacentral:sRNA from 1 species